UGGGGAAUCUUGGACAAUGGGCGCAAGCCUGAUCCAGCCAUGCCGCGUGGAUGAUGAAGGCCUUAGGGUUGUAAAAUCCUUUCGUUGGGGACGAUAAUGACGGUACCCAAAGAAGAAGCUCCGGCUAACUUCGUGCCAGCAGCCGCGGUAAUACGAAGGGGGCUAGCGUUGUUCGGAUUUACUGGGCGUAAAGCGCGUGUAGGCGGACUUGUAAGUUGGGGGUGAAAUCCCGAGGCUCAACCUCGGAACUGCCUCCAAAACUACAAAUCUGGACCUAAGUAGAGGCAAGUGGAAUUGCGAGUGUAGAGGUGAAAUUCGUAGAUAUUCGCAGGAACACCAGUGGCGAAGGCGACUUGCUGGGCUUGUAGUGACGCUGAGACGCGAAAGCGUGGGGAGCAAACAGGAUUAGAUACCCAAGUAGUCCCUGAGCGGGCUGGCA
rnacentral:rRNA from 1 species